rnacentral:lncRNA from 1 species
UGCAGGUGCUGUAGAAAUCUUGCCGCCCAGUAAUAGUGCAGAUGCAGAUGGUGUAGAAAUCUUGCCACCCAGUAAAAAAGUGUAGAAGGAAUGAUGCAGGAAAAUGAAGCUGAGAAUGCUAGUUUGGAGGAGCAGAGGAAUGCAAUUCUUGAUGGACUCGGGAAUGACCUGACUGCGCAAGCAAAGAACAUUAGUGUAGAGUGUAAAGUAGUUUGGGAAGCGUAGAACCCUUUGUCUUGGGCCGCGUGCAUAUAUUGAGGCAAUGCCUUGGUGCAUAAGUUUACAGAGAGAAACCGAUCGAGAGAAAGAGAGAUCGGUUGAGAGGAGAUCGACCAGGAGGAGGUCGUUACAAGGGAUAAGAAGAAGAUGAGAUAGAGUUGAGAUACAAGUUAAACACCUCUCCUAUCCCUAUACAAAUAAUUCUAACACUCCCCCUCAAUCUAAACCUCAAGCCUUGCUAAGGUUGAGAUUGUAUUUGAACUCAUCCAAUCUUCUCUCUGUCAAGGGUUUAGUAAACCCAUCUGCAAGUUGAUCCCCUGUAAGAAUGAACCGUAUCUCAAGUAGCUUUCGAGCUACUCUCUCUCUGACAAAAUGAAAGUCCACUUCAAUAUGUUUUGUUCGUGCAUGGAAGACAGGAUUGGUUGAAAGAUAAGUUGCACCAAUAUUGUCACACCAUAACCGUGCAGCUUUCGGAGCUUUAAUUCCAAGCUCAUAGAGUAAUGUUUGUAUCCACAUUACUUCAGCUGUGGCAUUUGCUAAUGACUUAUAUUCAGCCUCUGUACUUGAUCUUGAGAUAGUAGCUUGCUUCCUUGCACUCCAUGACACAAGAUUAGAUCCCAGAAAUACAGCAAAACCACCAGUGGAUCUUCUGUCAUCAGCACACCCUGCCCAGUCUGCAUCAGAAUAUGCAGUAACAAGCAAGGAAGAGGACUUGACAAUUUGAAGUCCAAGUCCUUGAGAAUACUGAAGAUACCUUAGAAUUCUCUUGACUGCUGUCCAAUGAGUAGUUCUAGGAGCAUGCAAAUAUUUACAUACCUUGUUCACUGAAUAAGAAAUAUCUGGACGUGUAAGUGUUAAAUAUUGCAAAGCACCAAUGACACUUCUGUAAUUUGUUGCAUCUUCUGGACCAAGAGCUUCUCCACUAUCAACAGUAAGUUUUUCUGAGGUGGAAAUUGGUGUGCUGACAGGUUUACAGUUCUCCAAUCCCACCCACUUUAGAACAUCAGCUGUGUAUUUUUCUUGUGAGAGAAGUAUGCCAUCUCUAACUUGUUUUACCUCAAUGCCAAGAAAAUAGUGAAGAUCACCUAGAUCCUUGAGAGCAAAUUCAAGUUUUAAAUCCUUAAGCAAACAAGUAGUGGCCUCUUGACUUGAACUAGCAACAAUUAUAUCAUCAACAUAAACAAGCACAAAAACAGUGAUAUUGCCUUUGCUAUAAAAGAACAAGGAUGUAUCUGCUUUGGAUGGUGUGAACCCAAGACGUUGUAACUGCAUGCUCAGCCUAGAAUACCAUGCUCUUGGAGCCUGCUUAAGUCCAUAUAAUGCUUUAUCCAACUUGCAUAUAUAAUAUGGUGUGCUAUGACUUUCAUAACCUGGUGGUUGCCGCAUGAACACUUCUUCCUCAAGAACACCAUGAAGGAACGCGUUCUGAACAUCUAGCUGUCUUAAGCUCCAUCCUCUGGAAAUGGCAAUGGAUAAAACAAGGCGAAUGGUAGUUGCUUUAAUCACAGGGCUAAAGGUAUCAUCAUAAUCAAUUCCAAACCUUUGCUUAAAACCUUUUGCAACCAACCUUGCCUUGUACCUGUCUAUACUACCAUCAGAUUUCCUUUCUAUCUUGUAUACCCACUUACAAUCAAUUAUGUUAGCACCACGUUGCGGUGGUACUAAGUGCCAGGUUUGAUUCUUUAUGAGUGCAUUGUACUCAUUAUCCAUAGCUUCCUUCCAAUCCUUGCUAGCAAGUGCAUCAUGCAAAUUAAUAGGUUCACAAGUAGUGGCAAGAAAGGCACGCUUAGUCGGAUUAUACUUUAUUGUACCAUCACUAUAUUGAUUUUCCUUGACAAUACCUGACCGAGACCUGGUGUGUCGACGAGGAGGCGAAGGAGCCACAAAACCAGUUGCUGCAGACUGCGGCACAGGAGAUCCACCAGCGUCGGCGUCAUCCACAGAAGAUCCAGCAUGAUGGAUCGGCUCCUGAUCCGAGGGAUGCGGGCUGCUCCUCGUUCUGGCAGCGGAUCCGAUCGGCCGACGUGGCAGACGGGGAGUCGCUCCCCCCCACGCCGCGUGCGACAGCCGUAUCAGACUGCGCGGGCGAGGAUUGGCGAGGCGCGCCGGAGUGGGCGCCAGGACCCACGCCUGCACCUGGUUCGCUGGGGCCUGCCCGGUCGGUUUGGCGCGACUCGCCUGUACCCGCGCCAGGGCCCGCGCAUGGACCCGCGCGACCCACCUGGUCGGCUUGGCGUGGCGCGUCCGGAGCCGCCCCUGGAUCUGUGGCUGGGCCGCCGUCGCUGUCGCCUGCCAGGGGCAGAUCUGCACCGGAUCGCGAGCUGCCUGGUUCUGCAUGCUGCCGCGGAUCUGCCUGGGAUCGCGCGCCGCCCUGCUCUGCAUGCUGCUGCGGAUCAUCCUCGAAGACUGCGCCUUUGUCCUGUGUGCACAUAAAAUGACAAGCAGAACCUGUACAAGACCCAUUAGGAAUGCCUUUGUCUGUGGAUUUUUGCACUUGAUCAUGAUCAUUUAAUUCACCCCCGUGAUCAGGAUGGACAGAAUAGUCUGGUAGGAGUGCAAUUUCUGCACGAAGCAAGGCGCCAGCAUUGGGAUGAAGAAGGGAAAAAGGGAACAAUGUUUCAUCAAAGAUAACAUCACGGGAGAUAUAGAUGCGUCCAGUAGAUGGUUCAAGACAUUUGUACCCUUUAUGAAGGUUACUAUACCCAAGAAACACACAUUGUGUGGAGCGAAACUCUAAUUUGUGACGAUUGUAUGGACGUAGGCUGGGGUAACAUGCGCACCCAAAUUUUUUUAGAGAGUUGUAGUCUGGCUUUUGCUGAUACAAUCGUUCUAAAGGAGUUGAAUUACCAAUGACCUUACUGGGAAGACGGUUGAUAAGAUAUGUAGCUGUUAUGAAAGCCUCAUCCCAAUACUUGAGGGGCAUAGAUGCAUGAGCUAAAAGAGAAAGACCAACUUCGACAAUAUGACGGUGUUUGCGUUCAGCAGAACCGUUUUGCUGAUGAGCAUGAGGGCAAGACACAUAAUGAGUGAUUCCAAUGCUACGGAAGAAAGAGUUGAGUUUUUCAUACUCCCCUCCCCAGUCAGUUUGGACUGAAAUAAUUUUCCUGUCGAAGUGGCGCUCAACUGGCUUCUUAAACUCUUGGAAGAUGGAAAAAACUUCAGAUUUAUACUUAAGAAAAUAAAUCCAUGUGAACUUGCUGUAAUCAUCAAUGAAGCUAACAUAAUAUUUUUUUCGACCAAAAGAAUCUCGAGCAUGACCCCAUACAUCACUGAAGAUUAAUUGUAAUGGGGCAUGAGACACACUAGUAGACUUAGGGUAGGGAAGCUGAUGGCUCUUGGCACAUUGACAUGCUUCACAAACAGACUCAUUGUUUGAACGAUGUGACAAAGGAAGUUUGUCUUUAUUGACUACUUGCCUAACUAUGACUGAUGAGGGAUGUCCUAAUCUUUGAUGCCACCGCUCGAAGGAGGGCUUGACGACGGAAUAGACACGACGAUGCUUGUUGCUAAAAACUCCGGAGGACAUGGGGUAGAGGCCGCCGACGCAUCUACCGUGAUAGAGAGGUGCCCUCGUUGCUCGAUCCUUAAUGAAAAAAUAGCGAGGGUGAGUUUCAAAGAAAACAUCAUUAUCGGUGGCUAAACGAGACAUCGAGGCAAGAUUUUUGUCAGCUUGAGGAACAUGAAGAACAUCCUUAAGAACAAGAUCACGUUGAAGGCUAGGGGAAUUAAGUGAAACUUGACCAAUGUGACAAAUUUCCAUACCUUUACCGCUAGCUGUGUGGAUCUGAUCGUUGCCGUGAUACGUCUCCCGUAGGGCCAGUUGCUCUAACUCAUUUGUGACGUGAUCGAUAGCACCGGAGUCAACGUACCAGACACCGUCCCCGCCUUGCUCGCGCAUAGCUGCUGCAACUAGUUUGGAAUCAGGAACGUAGUUUUCAUCAUACCGAUGCCAGCAAUCGAUGACCUCAUGGCCAGCCUUCUUGCAGAGUUGACACCGAGGGCGAGGGCGCGAGGGGGGGUUGCGGCGGCCAGUGUUGGAGUUGAAGCCGCCACCCCCGUGGUUGUUGCCGUAGCCACCGUCGUAGUUGUUGUUGCCGUAGCCGCCACCAAAGCGGGCACCGUCGCCCGAGGAGGCACUACGGCCGCGUCCGCCACCACGGUUGAUGCCCUGGUGACCACGGCCACGACCACGCCCCCUGGAGGCGGAGUAUGCAGAGGUUUGCCGAAGAUCGCCGCCGUGAAGGAGGGUGAGGCGGGCGUCGAAGCUGAGCAGCUGGCUGUGCAGCUCUGGAACCGUGAUGGGUUCCACUCGAGCCGCCAGCGCAGAGACGACUGGAUUAUAUUCCAUGUCGAGGCCGGCAAGGAUCUUGGAGACAAUCUCUGGAUUGGAGAGGGCCGAGGCAGUGUAGGCAACUUCAUUGGUGAGGGUUUUGAUCUUGCCGAGGUACUCUGCCAUGGUCAAGUUACCUUUUUUAAGGUUGGUGAGCUCGAUGCGGGUGUUGAUCGCCUGCGCCUGGAUCUGGGCGAUUAACAUGGUGUUGAUGGCGCGCCACACCUCGGCCGACGUCUGGAGCGUGGCCACCUGGGACAGAAUCUCGUGGGAAAAGGAACCCAUCAAGAACCCUUGGAGUUGUUGUUGUUGCGCAUACCAGAGGGUGCGGGCGAAGUUGGCGACUUGCUCUUCUUUGCCCUCCUUGGUGAUGGUGAGGGUAGCCGGCGGUGGCGGGCUCGUGGGGUCAAGGUGGUGCUCCAUCUGAGCACCCUUGAUCUGAGGAAGCACGAUGGCUUUCCAGAGGAGGAAGUUCCCCCUCGUCAGCUUCUCCUGUGGUGGCGAUCCGAGGAAGGUGGUGGUAGUUGUGGAUGAUGAAGCAAAGGUGGAGGCGGAGGAGGUUGUGGUGAUCGCGCCCAUGGUGCUAGGUGACAUGGAGGCGGAGGUGGUGGACAUGGCUCGGUCGCGAACGGUAGCUAGAUGCGAUCUCUCUUGAUCUGAUGAGGAAGAGGCUCUGUUACCAUGUAAAGUAGUUUGGGAAGCGUAGAACCCUUUGUCUCGGGCCGCGUGUAUAUAUUUAGGCAAUGCCUUGGUGUAUAAGUUUACAGAGAGAAACCGAUCGAGAGAAAGAGAGAUCGGUUGAGAGGAGAUCGACCAGGAGGAGGUUGUUACAAGGGAUAAGAAGAAGAAGAGAUAGAGUUGAGAUACAAGUUAAACACCUCUCCUUCCCCUGUACAAAUAAUUCUAACAUAGAGAACACUUCUUUUCUGAAGAUAAAAGUUUAAGAAGGGAAGUGGACUGAAGGCAUUAGUAUCCAGGAUGCAGAUGAUGGUGAAGAACAGAGACAUACACACAACUGUUGUUUCACGAGCUUUUGGUGUUCUAAAAGUUCGUUUUGCAAUUUGAAGUAUGAAAGGAAUUCUGUGUCCAUAUAAAAAUCAAGUCAAAAUUGCUAUGCUUGUUACAUUACUUGUAACUUAGGAAGGUUAAUCCGCCUUUGUUUAGAAAGGGUUGAUCAGCUUGAUGAGUUGUUUGAACUAUAUGAGUUUGGGGAAACACAACAAAUGUUGACCAUGGUGGUCAACAAGGCAUCGCUUGAGAGUUGUGGACUAAUUGUCAACAGUAGCAAGAUAAUUAAACUAGUUUAAAAAAAACGUGUUUUCGGAUAGUGUAGAUCAGCACGCACUUGUGAUCAAUUAUACAUCACAAUAUAGUGUAAAUUUCUCUAGUUAUGCGGAUCAAUAUUAGGGCUGCAAUCUAAGCAUAUGAUCUACCACCUUACAAUUCUAACGUGCUUAACAAAAGGCCCCAAAGUAAACAAUGUCUUGGGCUCCCAACCCUAGUCGCUGCCACCAAAGCUUUUCUACAUGCCGCUGCCUUAGUCCCCCUCCUAGUUUUCUUUCCUUAGAAUUUUGUUUCUCUGGCAACAUACAAGAUGGUGGUGGCCAUGGCAUGUUGGAAUAAGGUCUCCUCUGAAGUAUAAUCCUAGUUGCUAGUAUCAGUUUUACACUAAGUUGCAUUAGCUGAAUAAGUGGCCGGAAGCGUGUGCAUGUCCACGUCCGGUUCAGUUUUCUGUUUUUCUUCAGUUAGUUCAGUUAAGCGCCGGCAAGACCGCUUCCAUGGGAUGGCGUGGAGAUGCAGCGGAUUUGGCGGCGGCGUAGUUGCUCGCGCAAACUUAGCAUCGUGGGAUGGCACGAUCAGUAGGCUAGGUGUGCGUGGGCGUGAUCUCCUUUGUAUUCGGCAACUCGUUUUGAGCUCUGCAUAAAUAACAGAAACACCUGAAAAGGUUGCAAGCAGUUCAGCAGCGAAAAACACUCUGUCAGACUUCAUCCUCCUCGCGAUCCGAUCUUCCUCCUUCCCUCUCUCUCACUCGGCGGGUCAGUUUCUGCAACAACAAGUGGCAUCAGAGCCUCGGUGGUGUUCGAUCCAUCCUGGGCGCCGGCGGUGUUUGAUCCGUCGGAGAGAUGGCCGGCAGCGACGAAGAGAAGGCGAAGAAGAAGGAAGAGGAAGAGGAGGCUAAGGCGGAGGCCUCGGCACUGGGAAGGUCCCUGGCCCGUCUCUCUACCGAGGAAGGGUCGGGGGUGCGUGUCGUGGAGCGCAUCGUGCACGGCGGCGGCGGCGGCGCGCCUCCGAUGAUGCUCACCCGUACUAACUACUCUGAUUGGGCCAUGAUCACUAAACUUCAGCUGCAGGCUGAUGAGCUGUGGCAUGUGGUGGAAACAGGCCAAGGGACGGACCGCGACGAUCGGCGCGCCAUGAUUGCUCUCCUCAAGGGGGUACCGCCGGAGCUCAUGUGGAUCCUGGGCGCCAAGGCCACUGCCAAGGAGGCGUGGGACACUCUGAAGACCAUGCGGAUCGGCGUCGAGCGCGUGCGCGAGGCCAAGGCUCAAACUCGUCGCUCAGAGUACGAGGCGCUCCGGUACAAGGACGGCGAGGGAAUCGAGUCGUACGUGAUGCGGCUCAGGACAAUCAUAGACGAGCUGCAGGGGCUCGGCGAUCCAGUUGACGAACACAAGGCCGUCCUCAAGGUGCUCCGCACCGUGCCACGCCCGUACCGCGAGAUGGCCGUGGCGAUCGAGUCGCUAGUCGACACCAAACAACUCUCCCUAGAGGAACUCUGCGGCCGGCUCCUCGUCGUCGAGGAGCGAGAGCGCGAGGAGACUCCGGCGCCCGGCGCGCAGCUGCUGUACACCAUCGAUCAGUGGCGGGCGCACGAGAAGCAGCUGGACCAAAGUGGUGCGUCCUCAGGCUCUGGAGCAGGGCGGGGACGCGGGAAUGGCAAGGCAAAGAACUUCCACGGAGGGGGUGGCCGUGGCCAGGGCGGUGGCCGCGCCAAUGGUGGUCCGCCGACGCCCAAACGGAAGGGCAACUGCCGCUACUGCGGCAUCCCAGGUCACUGGGCCAAGGAAUGCCGCAAGAAGGAGAGGGAGCAGCGGGAGCAGACGGACCAACAGGCGAACGUCGCCCAGGUCGACGUCGAGCAGCCGGGCUUACUGCUGGCCACCUGCGCGGCAGCAAGCGGCGAGAGCGCGAACGGCGGCGCACGUGAACCGGGCGCGGAGAUCUUCCUCAACGAAGCACGGGUCGUGCCCGUGGCGACGGACGACGACAGAUGGUACCUCGACACCGGCGCUAGCAAUCACAUGACGGGGCGCCGCGACAUGCUCUCGGAGCUCGACGAGACGGUACGAGGUACUGUACGUUUUGGUGACGGCUCGGUUGUGCAGAUUUGUGGGCGUGGCGUCGUGCUCUUCACGUGCCGCAACGGAGAACAUCGCGCGCUCACCGACGUCUACUACAUCCCGCAACUACGCACAAGCAUCGUCAGUGUUGGGCAGCUCGAUGAGCACGGCUGCAAAGCCGUGAUCGAGGAUGGGGAACUCUGCCUGUAUGACAGACAGAGACUGCUGCUCGCACGGGUGCGGCGGACGAGCAACCGGCUCUACGCCGUGGCUCUGAACUUGGCCGCUCCCGUGUGCCUCCUCGCCGGAGCCCAGGACAAUGCCUGGAGGUGGCACGCAAGGUUCGGGCACCUGCACUUCCGCGCUCUGCAUGAUCUCGGUGCAAAAGGCAUGGUGCGCGGUAUGCCAGCGAUCGCGCACCUCGAUCAGUUCUGUGAGGCCUGCACCAUCGGGAAGAUGCACCGCAUGCCCUUCCCGCGUGCGUCGCCGUACCGAGCGGAGAGUGUGCUCGAGCUAGUGCACGGCGACCUGUGCGGCCCGAUCACUCCGGCGACGGCCAGCGGUAACAAGUACUUCCUGUUGAUAGUUGAUGAUUUCAGCAGAUACAUGUGGCUUGAGGUACUGAAGACCAAAGAUGAAGCGUUUCGCUACUUCAAGAAGAUCAAGGCACACGCGGAGAUGCAGGGAAAUGCCAGGCUCCGGGCGUUCCGCACAGACAGAGGAGGCGAGUUCACCUCGAACGAAUUCGCCGCCUACUGUGAAGGUCUGGGGAUCCAGAGGAACACGACGACGCCGUACUCUCCUCAGCAGAACGGAGUGGUCGAACGGAGAAACCAGACUGUUGUGGAGAUGGCGCGCAGCCUCAUGAAAGCCAUGGGCGUGCCGUGCGUGUUCUGGGGCGAGGCUGUGCGCACCGCCGUCCACAUCCUCAACCGGUCGCCGACCAGAAGCCUACAGGGCAUUACUCCUUAUGAAGCGUGGCGUAAGAAGAAGCCGGCGGUGGACUACUUCCGCACCUUCGGGUGUGUCGCACACGUCAAGCUCGUCGGACCAGGGGUGACCAAGCUGGCGGACAGAUUGUGCCCUGGUAUCUUCCUGGGGUACAAGCCGGGAACGAAGGGCUAUCGGGUGUACGACCCGGUCGGCAAGCGCCUAUACAUCACACGCGAUGUGCGUUUUGAGGAGGAGCGACGCUGGGACUGGAGCAAGGACAGCGGGGAUGCGGCGCACGCCCGCGAGUUCACUGUCGUCUACUCCGACGCAGGCGCGCCCGUAACCACGACCUACUCUGUGUCGCCCGAGGUGGUGGGGUCACCGCGAACACCUGCAACGCCAACUACGCCAGGCACACCAGUCCCACCGCAAUCCCCUCGGACGCCCAUGUCCGGCGACUCGGGCAUGGAUGCGUCGAGUGCGUCGAGUGCGCCAGCAUCGGCAAGUGCUAGUCCGUCUACACCAACACCGAAAUUCUACGACCCUGAGGACGGGUGGGUGACUCCGCCCACCGGGGAGUCGUUCGAUGCCGAGGGGGUGCCUGUCCACUUCAAGUCGAUGGAGUACGUGAUCGAUCACGCUCCAGAGUGCACGCUAGAGUACAGUGGGCUUUGCCUCUCUACUGCAGAGGAGCCCGCGUCCGUCGACGAUGCUCUGGAGGAGCCAGCAUGGCGAAGUGCGAUGGAGGCAGAGAUGGAGUCCAUCCGCUCCAACAACACUUGGGAGCUUGCCACGCUCCCGGCAGGCCACCGUGCGAUCGGUUUGAAGUGGGUGUACAAGGUGAAGCGAGACCCGGCCGGCAACGUUAUCAAGCACAAAGCGCGGCUGGUGGCGAAGGGCUGUGCACAGAAGCAAGGGGUCGAUUUUGAUGAGGUCUUCGCGACUGUUGCCCGACUGGAGACCGUGCGCAUCCUACUUGCCGUGGCCGCGCACCGGAGCUGGAGCGUACAUCAUAUGGAUGUGCGCUCAGCCUUCCUCAACGGUGAGCUGGAGGAGGAGGUGUAUGUGCACCAACCAGCAGGUUUCGUCGACGACGAUCCCCACAAGGUACUCAAGCUGCGGAAGGCGUUGUACGGGCUCCGGCAGGCGCCACGGGCUUGGAACGCCAAGCUGGACCUCACACUGCAGUCACUUGGGUUCGCAAGGUGUCAGUUGGACUAUGCUCUGUACAGGCGCGGAGAUGAUUCGGAUUUCCUGCUGGUGGGGGUGUAUGUCGACGAUUUGAUCAUCACAGGCACGUCUGUUGACGCCAUUGAGGGAUUUAAAGGCCAGAUGCAGGAACUGUUCCAGAUGACAGAUCUUGGACUGCUCAGUUACUAUCUUGGCAUUGAAGUGAAGCAAGAGCAUGGCAUGAUCACUGUCUGUCAGUCCGGAUAUGCUGCCAAGAUCUUGGAAGAUGCUGGGAUGAGUGACUGCAACUCGAGCUCGACGCCCAUGGAGCAUCGACUGAAGGUCGUCAAGAACACGGGAGAAACAGUCGAUGCAACCAGGUACCGCAGCAUCAUUGGGAGCCUGAGAUACCUGGUGAAUACGCGCCCAGACAUUGCAUAUGCUGUGGGGGUAGCUAGCAGGUUCAUGGAAGCACCUGGAAAGCAGCAUUGGGCGAUCAUCAGACAGAUUCUGAGGUAUGUUCGAGGCACACUGAACUAUGGUUGCACCUACAAGGCAGGAGAAGGGACUGUCCUGACAGGGUUCAGCGACAGCGAUCAUGCCGGUGAUCUGACAGACAGGAAGAGCACGACAGGUCUGGUGUUUUUCAUGGGACCUAGUGUCAUCACUUGGAGCUCACAGAAACAGAAGAUCGUCGCUUUAUCCUCCUGUGAGGCUGAAUAUAUAGCAGCAGCUACAGCGGCCACACAAGCUGUUUGGCUCAGAGGGUUAGUUUCAGAAAUGCUUGGAACAGAGAAGCAAAAGGUACAGCUCAAGAUCGACAACAAAUCAGCAAUUGAGCUAAGCAAGAAUCCCGUGCACCAUGAGAGGAGCAAACACAUUGACUUGAGGUACCACUACAUCAGGGAAUGUGUUGAAGAAAGAAAAGUGGAGGUUGAGCACGUCCGAACUGAAGAUCAGUUGGCUGAUAUACUGACUAAGUCUCUUGGGCGUGCAAAGUUCACAGAACUCCGGUGCAGACUUGGGAUCACUCAGGUCAAGUGAGAGCAACAGGAUUAGGGGGUGAUGUGAAGUAUAAUCCUAGUUGCUAGUAUCAGUUUUACACUAAGUUGCAUUAGCUGAAUAAGUGGCCGGAAGCGUGUGCAUGUCCAUGUCCGGUUCAGUUUUCUGUUUUUCUUCAGUUAGUUCAGUUAAGCGCCGGCAAGACCGCUUCCAUGGGAUGGCGUGGAGAUGCAGCGGAUUUGGCGGCGGCGUAGUUGCUCGCGCAAACUUAGCAUCGUGGGAUGGCACGAUCAGUAGGCUAGGUGUGCGUGGGCGUGAUCUCCUUUGUAUUCGGCAACUCGUUUUGAGCUCUGCAUAAAUAACAGAAACACCUGAAAAGGCUGCAAGCAGUUCAGCAGCGAAAAACACUCUGUCAGACUUCAUCCUCCUCGCGAUCCGAUCUUCCUCCUUCCCUCUCUCUCACUCGGCGGGUCAGUUUCUGCAACAACAUCCUCGGGCUCUUCCUACCUUCGAUCCUGCGCCGACGAAUGGGAAUUUGUUGACUCCCUUCAAAUCUUGUCUGAUGGUGUGUCUUUUAAGGAGAGCUAUUUGAUGUUGUAGUCUGGUACUCUCUCUGUUCCUAAAUCUAAAGCCUUUUAGAUAUUCCAAUGCAGAUUACAUAGAGAGCAAAAUGAAUGAAUCUACACUCUAAAAUAUGUAUAUAUACAUCCGUAUGUAGUCCGUAUUUAAGCUCUACAAGGUCUUAUAUUUAGAGACCGAAGGAGUAAAUGUUAAUAUAUUUUUCUAUAUAUACAUGGCCAAACUUACGAAAGUUUGACUAAGGGCGAACCUAUGACUCCGAGUAUAUUGAAAUGGACAGUGGGUGUUUGAAAUUCCUUGACUGAAAAAUUGCUGAAGAGACUCAACGGUUGGAGAAGGGAUUCUUUACUCCACCUAUAUUUUGUCCAAAUUGUAAGCAAGGCCACAACAAAGCACAGAAACCUUUCGGUUUAGAGGUAAAGGACCACAUUGCUUCAUUCAUUUCAAGAAAUUGCAACUUAAUCUAACUGGCCACAACAGAAACUUCUCUCUUAACAUGAGAGCGCUGCCGUGGGAGAACAGCUAUGCUCCAGUUAGCCCACGGAAGAAGAACAGUUAAUUAACUACACAAAUGCAAAAUUGAGGAUCAAAAGAAGCAACAAAGUCUCCCGACCCAGGCUCACUCCUGACCCGCUCCCGACCCAGGCUCUCGCUAGGGUUCCUCAUCCAUACCUCCUGCCGCCGUCGGCCGUCCUACCGCCCACGUGCCGCCGCCGACCGCUGGUUGCCCGGGCCCGGCCAAGCCCCUCCCUCCCCUCCCGGAUCCGCCCUUGCGUCGCCUCCCCGGGAGGUUGUUGGGGAGGCACGCCUCCCUCUUCUUCCUCGGUGGCCCACCUCCCCUUUCCUCCCCUGCCGCCGCCGGCGGUCGCCCCCGGCGCUGUUCGGGUGGUGUCGGCGGCGGCGGGACUUCCUGUCUCCGCGCGCCCGUUUCCCCUUCCCGGGACAGGGGACGGUGGCGGUGUUCCUCGGUUUGGCUGCGGUCAGGCGACCCAGCGACGGUGGCCGGCGGCAGGAGAGGUGGCGGCGCGACUCCUUGGCGGCGGGGCAGCUUGGUCGCGCGGGGUGGUCUACGGCGCGCCCCGGGCUUAGAUAUGGGCCAUGCGGGCCCCAUCUGGGUCCUACUGGGCUGGCCCCUGGCGCGGCUUCGUUGUCUUCUACGCGGUGGGGAGGAGGAGCAGCUCGGACCGGGGUGGCGACGCCGAUGGCGUGCCUGUUGCAGUGUGAAUGCGGGAGCUUUACGGGCCUAUGAGGGCACAGACGGGCUUGUGGGCCCACAGGUCUGGUAUGCUCCUGCUACUGCGUCUGGUCGGCUACCGUCGUUGAUGGUGGAGGUUGAGCCCUCCCGCGUGCUGACGGUGCUGCUGCCUCUAAUCCCGGCUCCUCAUCUUCGAUGUGCAGACCUCACUUCAUGGUGUCGUGGUGAGACGGCGUGGAAGUUUCAAGACCAUGUCUCGGUUUGGUGGCGGGCUCUAGUGUGCCCGAGGUGAAGGUUGGGAUCGGGAGAAAUCCAGGUCGGCUUGACCGACACCGACGUGGUGGCGCCUGAGGGUGCCGCCGGACCUUCCUGGAGGGCGUCGGGGGCUACCCUUCCUCUCUCCUCGUCGCGUACCAGGAGAAACCCUUGGCAGCAGCGUCGUUAUCAUCGCGUCCCUUCUUGGAGGUGUUGAUUGGUACCGGCGCUUCGGAGUCUAGGACCUUGAUGGGAGAUUUCCGAUGGGCGCAUUGGUCGCAAGGCUUCUUCGUUUUUUCGUCGAUCCACCGUUGUCAGUAUUUGUUUCUUUUGUUCUUUCUCUUUCGGUUCUUUGGGCGUGUCUGUGCCGCUUCUGCCCCAGCAUCUUCGUUGGUUGUAUCAGUUAGUUGCUUUGUAAUACAAAGCGAGGGGAAACCUUUUUUGGUAAAAAAAUGCAAAAUUGAGUGAUGUUAGGUAGAAUUCACAAAAAAUAAUAAGAAAUGGUCCCCGCCUUCUCCACACAGUCGGAUUGGAUAGAUGCUAGGAUCUGCUUCUUCAGUUGGCGUCUACACCGAACAAUCUCAACUUUCAACUCUGCAUUCCAGAAAGAAAAAAACUUAGCAUCAGCAAGUAGCCAAAUACUGAUGUCAUUGGAAAGUAUGUGGGUGCCAUCACAUCUGUCAGUAGAAGAAUGGUUGGAUGAUCUCGGUUCACCUCUGCACACACAUACACAAAAGAAAAAACUUCCCAGUCCGAAAGAAGUCAAAUAAAUUACUGCAUGUACAUUGUGGGAUAAUUUUGCCCCUUCAAUAUUUUGGAGUUUCAUACAGCUCCCUCUGUUCCUAGAUGUUUGUUUACAGAUGUUCUCGCCUGAGGAGGCUAACUUGAUCGAGCUUGAUGCAACUAAAUAUGAAGAUCUGUUACACAGGGACACAAUCUCGGAAAUCUAUGAUGACAUUGUCGCUGUCCGUGAAUACGUGGACAAGGUGCUGCUGAAAUUGCGCCACUUGCUUAAGAAGGCUGAAGCAGCACUGGAAACUGAAGAUGUGCUGGAGAAAGCUGCAACAAAUGGUGUUGACUCCAUGCAGCAAGUUGACCAUACAUGUUUAGCAGUGGACCUGGAAGUACCCAACCAACAAUAAUGUCAUAUCACGGGUGAGAAUUCUGAGCCCUUGGUUGUGUGAUCUUGGUGAAGACAGUGUGUCAUGUCGUAUAUGCUAAUCAGUUCAUCGUUGAAGUCUUCAAGAUCAAUGAACAACGUCCAAACAUGGUACUCUUCAGUGUACAUUUUUGUGUGGAUUGUGCAGAAUAUCAGUAAAGCGCUAAAACUCUGAAGUUACUGUAAGCUGUAUAGUCUCGUUUGGAUGAUGGAAGCAUGUCAGAUGGGCCAAGGUGAACUUCAAAAACUGACAAAUAUAAGAAAUCCUAAGCUCUUUCCCUAAACUCAGACACAUCGAUGGCCUGAAGUGCUUGCUUCAAUAUGCAAUAUGCUUUAGUUGCUAAUCUUGUUCAAUAAUAUAUUUUAGGAUUGUAAAAAAUAUUAUAAAAACAACAACUAUAAUCAGUUUAUUUCUCCUUCCACAUGGGGUUGGCCCCAGUGUCCCACCACAAAGUUUUGAUGUCUUGACGAUGGGAAAGAGCAUUCAUGUUUUGUACUUGAAAAAUCAUUUGAGUUGGUGUUGUGCUGUCCCAGUAAAGAUGAUUUAUUCUAGUUGAUGCAGGUGGGAUAGAAAUCUUGCCGCCCAGUAAUAGUGCAGAUGCAUAUGGUCGCCACCCAGUGAAAAGUGUAGAAGGAAUGUUGCAGGAAAAUGAAGCUGAGAAUACUAGUUUGGAGGAGCAGAGGAAUGCAAUUCUGGAUGGAGUCGCAAGCUGACAACAUUAGUGUAGAGAACGAUUCUUUUCUUGAGAUAAAAGUUCAAGAAGGAAAGUGGACUGAAGGCAUUAGUACCCAGGAUGCAGACGAUGGUGAAGAACAGAGGCAUACACACAAUUGUUUUUUCUUGGACUUUUGGUGUUCUAAAAGCCUGUUUUGCAAUUUGAAGUACGAAAGGAGUUCUGUACCCAUAUAAAAAUCAAGUCAAAAUUGCUAUGCUUGUCACAUUGCUUGUAACUUAGUAAGGUUAAUAAGCCUUUGUUUAGAAAAGGGUUGAUCAGCUUGAUGAGUUGUUCGAACUAUAUGAGUAUGGAGAAACACGACAAAUGUUGAC